CAUGAUCAUAUAUUUUUGAUACUUUUUUCACUCUUGUUUAAUGCUUUAUUCAGCCAUGUUCCAGCCACCUGUAUGCAAAUUCAGACCAGACAAAUCAGUCAUUCCUAUUAUGAGCAACGAUCCACACCAUCGGGUACGAUGACACACAAUCAAUAAAGUCACCAAAUCUAACAACCAGGUCUAUUUAGUCGCCUGUUAUCACAAGAAUAGAUUGCUGGGGUCCUGUUCUAAACCAUAUUGCAACAAGGUAGACUAAAUGAUUAUUAUGUUAAAUAUAAUCAUAUGUGGUAUUCAAGCGCUUAAUUUGGUAGACACAAAUAUAUUUUUAUGGCUGUUGAAA